rnacentral:rRNA from 1 species
UACGUAGGGGGCAAGCGUUGUCCGGAUUUAUUGGGCGUAAAGAGCUCGUAGGCGGCUUGUCGCGUCGACUGUGAAAACCCGCGGCUCACGACCGGCCGGCUGCAUUCGAUACGGGCAGGCUAGAGUUCGGUAGGGGAGGACUGGAAUUCCUGGUGUAGCGGUGAAAUGCGCAGAUAUCAGGAGGAACACCGAUGGCGAAGGCAGGUCUCUGGGCCGAUACUGACGCUGAGGAGCGAAAGCGUGGGGAGCGAACAGG